UAGGGAAUAUUGGUCAAUGGAUGGAAGUCUGAACCAGCCAUGCCGCGUGCAGGACGAAGGCCCUUCGGGUUGUAAACUGCUUUUAUUGAGGAAGAAGAGUCACGCUGCGGCGUGAUGUGACGGUACUUAAUGAAUAAGCACCGGCUAACUACGUGCCAGCAGCCGCGGUAAUACGUAGGGUGCAAGCGUUGUCCGGAUUUAUUGGGUUUAAAGGGUGCGUAGGUGGUUUGAUAAGUCAGUGGUGAAAGUCGGUUGCUCAACAAUUGGAUUGCCAUUGAUACUGUCGGACUUGAGGGUGGAUGAGGUGAAUGGAAUGGAUGGUGUAGCGGUGAAAUGCAUAGAUAUCAUCCAGAACGUCAAUUGCGAAGGCAGUUCACUGGGCCAUUACUGACACUGAGGC
rnacentral:rRNA from 1 species